rnacentral:rRNA from 1 species
CUUACGGGUUGGGCUACACACGUGCUACAAUGGUGGUGACAGUGGGUUAAUCCCCAAAAGCCAUCUCAGUUCGGAUUGGGGUCUGCAACUCGACCCCAUGAAGUUGGAAUCGCUAGUAAUCGCGUAACAGCACGACGCGGUGAAUACGUUCCCGGGCCUUGUACACACCGCCCGUCACACCAUGGGAGUUGGGUCUACCCGACGGCCGUGCGCUAACCCUUACGGGAGGCAGCGGACCACGGUAGGCUCAGCGACUGGGGUGAAGUCGUAACAAGGUAGCCGUAGGGGAACCUGCGGCUGGAUCACCUCCUU